UAGGCAUCAAAGUGGUAGGACUACC
rnacentral:rRNA from 1 species